AUGACUCUCGGCAACAGAUAUCUCAACUCUCGCAUCGAUGAAGAACAUAGCAAAAUACGAUACUUAGUAUGAAUUGUAGAAUCCCAUGAACCGUAGAGUAUUUGAACACAAGUUGUGCCCGAAGAUAUUAGGUCGAGGGCACGUCUGCCUGGGCAUCAUGCAUUGCGUCGCCCCCUCGUAUCGUGCCGCAAUAACGGGGCUUGCUCUUGUUGUGGGGCGGAUACUGGCCUCCCGUGCACCUCGAGGUCGUGGCUGGCCUAAAUGUGAGUCCACAUCAAUGGACGUCACAGAAAGUGGUGGUUGUAUCUCAACUCUCUUUGUUGUCACGGCAAUAGCCCGUCGCGCGUUCGGACUCCAGGACCCUUUUGCGCUUAGGCACUCCGAACGCGACCCCAGGUCAGGCAGGAUUAUCUACUGAGUUUAAGCAUAUCAAUAAGUGGAGGAAAAUAAACUUACAAGGAUUCCCUUAGUAACGGCGAGUGAACCGGGAAUAGCCCAGCCUUAGAAUUGGGCGGAUCCAUCAUCCGAAUUGUAGUUUGGAGAAGCGUCCUCAAUGGCGGACUAGACCCAAGUCCCCUGGAAGGGGGCACCAGAGAGGGUAAGAUCCCCAUUAUGCCCGGACCCUAUUGCACCACGAGGCACUGUCUACAAGUUGGGUUGUUUGGGAAUGCAACCCAAAUUAGGUGGUGAAUUCUGUCCAAGGCUAAAUACGGGCGACUGACCGAUAGCAAACAAGUACCACAAGGGAAAGAUGAAAAGGACUUUGAAAAGAGAGUCAAAGAGUGAUUGAAAUUAUUGGAAGGAAAGUGGAUGGGGCCGGCGAUGCACCCCGGUCGGAUGUGGAAUGGAGACGAGCCGCUUCGCCGAUCGACUUGGGGCAUGGACCAGCGUGGAUUGGGGGGCGUCCAAAGCCUGGGCUCUCGGUAUGCUCGUGGAAUGCCGUAUCCUCGAUUGUGGAAGGUAGCGCGCACCUUCGGCGUGCUUCGGUAUCUGUGAGCUAUGGACGCUUGCCUGUAGGCUCCCUAUUCAACCCGUCUUGAAAACAGAUGAAGGAGUCUGACAUGUGUGCGAGUCACGAGCGAGUUAACCCGUAAGGCAUAAGGAAGCUGAUUGGUGGUAUCCCCCCAAGGGUUGCACCGCUGACCGACCUUUAUCUUCUGAGAAAGGUUCGAGUGUGAGUAUAUCUGUUGGGACCCGAAAGAUGGUGAACUAUGCCUGAGCGGGGCGAAGCCAGAGGAAACUCUGCUGGAGGCCCGCAGCGAUACUGACAUGUAAAUCAUCCCUCUGACUUGGGUGUAGGGCCCGCAGCUGCUUUGUUGAGCUGUGCUUUGGAAUCAAGAGCUCCAAGUGGGCCAUUUUUGGUAAGCAGAACUGGCGAUGUAGGAUAAACUGAAAGCCGGGUUACUCUGCCAAACUGCAUGCAAACCUAGAUCCCACAAAGGGUGUUGGUCGAUUAAGAUAGAAGGACGGUGGUCAUUGAAGUCAAAAUCCACUAAGAAGUGUGUAACAACUCACCUGCCGAAUAAACUAGCCCUGAAAAUGGAUGGCGCUUAAGCGUACGACCUACACCCGGCCGUCCGGGAAAGUUCCGGGCUUGAUGAGUAGGAGGCCAUUGGUGCAGAUAUUGAUGGAAGUAACAAAUAUUCAAAUGAGAACUUUGAAGGACGAAGAGGGGAAUGGUUCCAUGUGAACGACACUUGCACAUGGGUUAGUCGAUCCUAAGGGUCGGGGAAACCCUGACAGAUAGCGCAUUUUGCCCGUACUCUGAAAGUGAAUCGGGUUAAAAUUCUUGGACCGAGAUGUGGAGGUCGACGACAAUUUUAGGAAGUCUAUAGACAUUGCUAGGAGCCUUAGGAAGAGUUAUCUUUUCUAUUUAACAGCCUGCCUACCCUGGAAUCUGCUCAGCCGGAGGUAGGGUGCAGCGGCUGGAAGAGCACCGCACAUCGCGCGGUGUCCGGUGCACUUCUGGCGGCCCUUGAAAACCCAAAGGACUGAAUGCCGUCGACACCAGGUCAUACUCAUAACCACAUCAGGUCUCCAAGGGGAACAACCUCUGGUCGAUGGAAUAAUGUAGGCAAUGAAAGUCGGCAAAAUGGAUCCUAACUUCUAGAGAAGGAUAGUACUGAGGGCGGGGCACGAGGAUCCCAGUCCCGAACUCAUCAGCUAUCAGUGGACUACUCGAGCUUCUCCUAAAAUGAGAGUGGAUCUUCGUAUGCCAGUUGGGGGACAGACUGGAAACGGUUCCUUUAAGGGCCUUUCCCGCGCGUCGAACAGAUAACUCAGAACUAGUAUAAAAAAGGGAAAUCCGACUCUCUUAAGGUAUCCAAAUGCCUUGUCAUCUAAUUAGUGACGCACAUGAAUAGAUUAAUGAGAUUCUCAUUAUCCCUGUCUACUAUCCAGCGAAACCACAGCCAAGGGAACGGGCUUGGCAGAAUCAGCGAGGAAAAAAGACCCUUUUGAGCUUGACUCUACCCCGACUUUGUGAAAUGACUUAAGAGGUGUAGUAUAAGUGGGAGCCGAAAGGAGAAAGUGAAAUACCACUACUUUUAACAUUAUUUUACUUAUUUCGUGAUUUGGAAGCAGGGCACUGCCCCUCUUUUUGGACCCAAGGCUCGUUCUGCAGGCCGAUACAAGCGGAUGACAUUGUCAGGUGGGGAGUUUGGCUAGAGCGGCACAUCUGUUAAAAGAUAACGCAGGUGUCCUAAGAUGAGCUCAACGAGAAUAGAAAUAUCGUGUGGAAUAAAAGGGUAAAAGCUCUUUUGAUUCUGAUUUCUAGUACGAAUAUGAACCAUUAAAGCGUGGCCUAACGAUUCUUUAGACCUUCAGAAUUCGAAGCUAGAGGUGUCAGGAAAGUGUUACCACAGGGAUAACUGGCCUGUUGCAGCCAAGCGUUCAUAGCUAUAUUGCAUUUUCAUCCUUCGAUGUCGGCUCUUCCUAUCAUUGAGAAGUAGAAUUCACCAAGUUUUGGACUGUCCACCCACCAAUAGGGUACGUGAGCUGGGCUUAGAACAUUAUGAGAUAGGUUAGUUUUACCCUACUUAAAAUAGUUUUGCAGUAGUAAUUCAACCUAGUAAGAGAGGAAAUAUUGAUUCACACAAUUUGCCAUCGCACUUGGUUGAAAAGCCAGUGGCACAAAGCUACUGUGUGCUGGAUUAUGACUGAACACCUCUAAGUUAGAAUCUGGGCUGGAUUAUCAAGUUUUAUCGAUCGCUUUUCGCCCCUCGCAUUUCGUGCACAGGGUGAAUAUAAAGAUCGCCCUCGUAUCCUACGUCUUCCUGGCUUCGUCGUGCAGUCAUGGUCCAUGAGCGGCGGUCAGGGGGUAUUUAUUGACUUCUAUCUGCCCCGUACCUUGAAUCUGUCUGCGUUCUCAUG
rnacentral:rRNA from 1 species